rnacentral:rRNA from 1 species
UACGGAGGGGGCAAGCGUUGUUCGGAAUUAUUGGGCGUAAAGAGUAUGUAGGCGGCUGGAUAAGUCAGACGUGUAAGCCCACGGCUCAACCGUGGAAUUGCGUUUGAAACUAUUUAGCUUGAGUGCAGAAGAGGAAGGCGGAAUUCCCAGUGUAGCGGUGAAAUGCAUUGAUAUUGGGAAGAACACCGGUGGCGAAGGCGGCCUUCUGGUCUGUUACUGACGCUGAGAUACGAAAGCCAGGGGAGCAAAGGGG